rnacentral:rRNA from 1 species
AUGACCUACGGGACGCAGCAGUGGGGGAUAUUGCACAAUGGGGGAAACCCUGAUGCAGCGACGCCGCGUGUGGGAAGACGGUCUUCUGGAUUGUAAACCACUGUCCCCAGGGACGAAAAUGACGGUACCUGGGGAGGAAGCUCCGGCUAACUACGUGCCAGCAGCCGCGGUAAUACGUAGGGAGCAAGCGUUGUCCGGAAUUACUGGGUGUAAAGGGAGCGUAGGCGGGGAUGCAAGUUGGGUGUCAAAACUACCGGCUCAACCGAUAGUCGCACUCAAAACUGCAGCUCUUGAGUGAAGUAUAG